rnacentral:rRNA from 1 species
AACGAACGCUGGCGGCAUGCCUAACACGUGCAAGUCGAACGAGACCUUCGGGUCUAGUGGCGCACGGGUGCGUAACGCGUGGGAACCUGCCUUUAGGUUCGGAAUAACUCAGAGAAAUUUGAGCUAAUACCGGAUGAUGUCUUCGGACCAAAGAUUUAUCGCCUUUAGAUGGGCCCGCGUUGGAUUAGCUAGUUGGUGGGGUAAAGGCCUACCAAGGCGACGAUCCAUAGCUGGUCUGAGAGGAUGAUCAGCCACACUGGGACUGAGACACGGCCCAGACACCUACGGGAGGCAGCAGUGGGGAAUAUUGGACAAUGGGCGAAAGCCUGAUCCAGCAAUGCCGCGUGAGUGAUGAAGGCCUUAGGGUUGUAAAGCUCUUUUACCCGAGAUGAUAAUGACAGUAUCGGGAGAAUAAGCUCCGGCUAACUCCGUG